AUUGAACGCUGGCGGCAGGCCUAACACAUGCAAGUCGAGCGAGCGGCGGACGGGUGAGUAAUGUCUGGGAAACUGCCUGAUGGAGGGGGAUAACUACGGGAAACGGUAGCUAAUACCGCAUACCAUCAGAUGUGCCCAGGUGUGAUUAGCUAGUAGGUGUGGUAACGGCUCACCUAGGCGACGAUCACUAGCUGGUCUGAGAGGAGGACCAGCAACACUGGAACUGAGACACGGUCCAUACUCCUACUGGAGGCAGCAGUGGGGAAUAUUGCACAAUGGGCGCAAGCCUGCUGCAGCCAUGCCGCGUGUGUGAAGAAGGCCUUCGGGUUGUAAAGCACUUUCAGCGGGGAGGCGUUACCCGCAGAAGAAGCACCGGCUAACUCCGUGCCAGCAGCCGCGGUAUUC
rnacentral:rRNA from 1 species